rnacentral:lncRNA from 1 species
AUGGGCUGCCACGGUGAGGGAGGAAGGGUGAGAAGGAAGGACAGAAGGCGUCAGGGCUGGCUUCGCACCAUAGCAGCGGGCUGUGCUGGAGCCUGUGUUGCUGAUUGUUCUCUUCCCUGGAGCAGUUCAACGUGUAGAAGCGUAGCGAGGGCAUUGGCAGCUUUUACCUCAGCAUCAUCCAGCCCUGCUGAGAGGCACUCGACGCAGAACGGUGCUAAAAUGCUGGCAGAGCCUUUUGACCCUACCAUGGCCUCUAAUCUAAAAGUCAUCUUCCUGUUUCUUUGGUCGCUUCUCUGUGAAGGGGGAGAUGUCAAGGUACAGCAGAAUCCUCUAAUCCAAGUUGCACUGCUCAAGGAAGAAGUGUCCAUCCCCUGUGAAGUCACCUUCCUUUACACCCUGAAAUACACCAAAUUUUCAAUCUUCUAUUACUGGUUUAAUUCAUCGGGUCAGAGGACAUCCAUCUAUAAUCGGGAAGAAAAUGUACAAAUCCCCCCUGGAAAAGAGAAUACGUCCAUAACCAAAUCCUACAAUCACAAAACCAUGCCACUUGAAAGCCACUCUUCUGGCACCUACUAUUGUGAGGUCCAGUGGAGUGACAUCCAGAAAAUGGGAAAUGGAGUGUAUAUCCUUGUGAGAGAGACAGGGUACACCGAGACCUCCUAUGGGUGGGACAUCCUCAUUACCUUUACCGCUCUUCUGGCUGCACUGAGCAUCACUGCAACAGCUCUGCUCGUGUGGAAAAGAAAGGCAUUGUGUCCUAAGAGGAACCAGCUAAAUAUACUGAGGCAGAAGAUAGAAACUCGGCCCCCUUCAGCCAGCCCGCCACCACCUUCUCCUGUUUAUGACGUGAGUACCAGAAUCACCUUCCAUACCUGCCGUUGCGCAGGAAAGGUGAUAAAAUAUCAGUAUUGUGAUGUGAAGCAAGCAGUCAGGCCGGUGCUGGUGCUCCUGCAUCUGUGCUCUGCUCCUCUGGGGACUGUGCUUGUUGCACGUCUCCAUCCCGAUCCCAGUGGCAACGCCUUGUGCCAUGCCCAGCAGCCCCGCUCCAGCAGCGGUGGGCAGCACUUAGAAUCCCUUUUCAUCGCUUAG